AAUAAGAUGCCUGAUUAAAGGAUUAUUUUGAUAGAAUAAAUUAAGUAUUUUUAAUACUCUUAUUG
rnacentral:tRNA from 1 species